CAGGUGGCCUGCAGUGCCAAGCUGUUUCCCUGCCAGCCUCCCAGUCUGGCCCUGACUCUCCAAUGUGUCACAGAAUAAAGAAAAAGACUGGGAGAGAGAUGGGAGCUGAUAGACCAGAGGAGACCAAAGACUGAAACUGAAGACUAAACCAUGGAAAUUGGGAACAAGCACUUACUCGCUUAGAGGGUGAAAAAAGUGAAUUUGCCUACAGGGCCAAUUUGGAAGCACCUCUCCCUGGAAGCCAGUCAAUGAAGAGCCAUUGGAGGAUUUUAAAUAAGGAACCGAAAAAUGGAGUCUGAAAAUAGAGGCGCAGAGACCGGUCAACCACAAUGAAGAACAAGCCAUUUUGACCUCCAUCCUGGCUCAUCUCCUCUGUGUUCUCAUAGCAUCAUAUUAUAGAAUGGAUCACAAACGCCUUUGCAGUUGCCUAUUUAUUUGUCCAUUUCUCCCUCCAGACUGCCUUUGUGAGAAAAACACCCAAAUGCCACAAGUGCAUCCCCAGGGAGGUGCAGGGUGGCAGGAGCUGAGGAUGCAAAAACAUAAUUGCUUUCUAUCUACUCUGAUUUGAGCUUCAUCAAAUCCUUUGGCUCCCAAGGCAUUCUGCAGCAGAUGUGUGCACAAUAUUCCAGCACUAGGACUUGUGUCUGCGGGUACUGCUCGAGGCCCAAGAGUCUGAGGGUCUGCAAAGCCUCCAAGCCCUUCCCCUUCCUCCCAGGCCUCAGGGCCUGUGCUGGCCACCCUCCUAUACAGCCCUUACUUGGCAUUCUUGCUAAGUCCUGUGGGGGCUCCAUCCUUGACUCUUUUCAUUCCACGCUGAUGUCUUCUGGGCUCUGCGCCUCAGGGGAGAACUUGCAAUGCUAGUAAUAAACAAAGAGUACUCAUGAUAAAAAA
rnacentral:lncRNA from 1 species